AGUUUGAUCCUGGCUCAGGACGAACGCUGGCGGCGUGCCUAAUACAUGCAAGUCGAGCGGGGUUACUACGUUUGAAUCCUUCGGGAUGACGAUGUUUUAACCUAGCGGCGGACGGGUGAGUAACGCGUGGGUAACCUGCCCUAANNUUCGGGAUAACACCGGGAAACCGGUGCUAAUACCGGAUAUCUUUUAGAGAAGGCAUCUUCUUUAAAAGAAAGAUUACGCUUUAGGAUGGGCCCGCGUCCCAUUAGCUAGUUGGUGAGGUAACGGCUCACCAAGGCUGCGAUGGGUAGCCGGCCUGAGAGGGUGAACGGCCACACUGGGACUGAGACACGGCCCAGACUCCUACGGGAGGCAGCAGUAGGGAAUAUUGCGCAAUGGGGGGAACCCUGACGCAGCAACGCCGCGUGAGUGAAGAAGGUUUUCGGAUCGUAAAGCUCUGUCAUUGGGGACGAAGGAGUGACGGUACCCAAGGAGGAAGCCCCGGCUAACUACGUGCCAGCAGCCGCGGUAAUACGUAGGGGGCGAGCGUUGUCCGGAAUUACUGGGCGUAAAGGGUGCGUAUGCGGGCUCAGAAGUCAGGUGUGAAAUACCGUGGCUUAGCCACGGNNNUGCAUUUGAAAC
rnacentral:rRNA from 1 species